rnacentral:rRNA from 1 species
UACAGAGGGGGCAAGCGUUGUUCGGAAUUACUGGGCGUAAAGGGCGCGUAGGCGGCCUGCUAAGUCGAACGUGAAAUCCCCGGGCUCAACCCGGGAACUGCGUCCGAUACUGGCAGGCUUGAAUCCGGGAGAGGGAUGUGGAAUUCCAGGUGUAGCGGUGAAAUGCGUAGAUAUCCGGAGGAACACCGGUGGCGAAGGCGGCUUCCUGGACCGACACUGACGCUGAGGCGCGAAAGCUAGGGGAGCAAACGGG